GGACCCGCACAAGUAGUGGAGCAUGUGGUUUAAUUCGAAGAUACGCGCAGAACCUUACCAACACUUGACAUGUUCGUCGCGACUUUAAGAGAUUAAAGUUUUCGGUUCGGCCGGACGAAACACAGGUGCUGCAUGGCUGUCGUCAGCUCGUGUCGUGAGAUGUUGGGUUAAGUCCCGCAACGAGCGCAACCCUUACUUUUAGUUGCCAUCAUUAAGUUGGGCACUCUGAAAGAACUGCCAGUGAUAAGCUGGAGGAAGGUGGGGAUGACGUCAAGUCCUCAUGGCCCUUACGUGUUGGGCUACACACGUGCUACAAUGGCAUUUACAAUAGGAAGCAAGACGGCGACGUUAAGCAAAUCCUAAAAAAUAGCCUCAGUUCGGAUUGUACUCUGCAACUCGAGUACAUGAAGCUGGAAUUACUAGUAAUACG
rnacentral:rRNA from 1 species